rnacentral:rRNA from 1 species
AUUGGGAUUCGACUAAGCCAUGCGAGUCGUGAGGGUUCGGCCCUCGGCGAACGGCUCAGUAACACGUAGAUAAUUUGCCCUUAGGUGGAGGAUACCCUCGGGAAACUGAGAAUAAUACUCCAUAGAUUUAGAAUGCUGGAAUGCUUUUAAAUUGAAAGAUUUAUCGCCUAAGGAUAAGUCUGCGGACUAUCAGGUCGUAGUUAGGGUAGAUACCUGACUAGCCUACGACGGAUACGGGUUGUGAGAGCACUAGCCCGGAGAUGAUAUCUGAGACACGAUAUCAGGCCCUACGGGGCGCAGCAGGCGCGAAAACUUCGCACUGUGCGAAAGCACGACGAGGGAAUCCCAAGUGCUGGCUCGUAAGAGUCAGCUGUUUCUUUGUCUAAAAAACAGAGAGAGUAAGAGCUGGGUAAGACGGGUGCCAGCCGCCGCGGUAACACCUGCAGCUCAAGUGGUGGCCGCUAUUAUUGGGCCUAAAACGUCCGUAGCCGGUUCUAUAAAUGCCUGGGUAAAUCGUACGGCUUAACCGUACGAAUUCCGGGUAGACUGUUCAACUUGGGACCGGGAGAGGCUAGAGGUACUCCUGGGGUAGAGGUGAAAUUCUGUAAUCCUAGGGGGACCACCAGUGGCGAAGGCGUCUAGCUAGAACGGGUCUGACGGCGAGGGACGAAGCCCUGGGGAGCAACGGGAUUAGAUACCCGGUAGUCCAGGGUGUAACGCUGCUCGCUUGAUGUUAGUCGGGCUCC